GUGAAAUUCCAAUCGAACCCGGAGAUAGCUGGUUCUCCCCGAAAUAGCUUUAGGGCUAGCGUCGAGGUAAGUUGCGUGAAGGUAGAGCACUGAAUAUGUGAUGGCCCCAUCUCGGGGUACUGAGCAUAAUCAAACUGCGAAUGUCACGCCAACAUGCUCGGCAGUCAGACAGCGGGUGAUAAGGUCCGUUGUCAAGAGGGAAACAGCCCAGACCAUCAGCUAAGGUCCCAAAAUGUAUGCUAAGUGGAAAAGGAUGUGGAGAUGUACAGACAACUAGGAGGUUGGCUCAGAAGCAGCCAUCCUUUAAAGAGUGCGUAACAGCUCACUAGUCGAAUGACUCUGCGCCGAUAAUUUACCGGGGCUAAGCAUACUACCGAAGCUAUGGAUCCCAAGGGAUGGUAGGGGAGCGUUCCAUGAACGGAGAAGUACGACCGAAAGGACGUGUGGAGAUCAUGGAAGAGAGAAUGCCGGUGUGAGUAGCGGAACGUGGGUGAGAAUCCCACGCACCGAAAACCCAAGGUUUCCAGAGGAAGGUUCGUCCGCUCUGGGUAAGUCGGGACCUAAGGCGAGGCCGAAAGGCGUAGUCGAUGGACAACAGGUAGAGAUUCCUGUACCCGUAUAUAUGUGAAGGAAUGACGGAGAGAGGAAGCUGCAGCCAGCGGCUGGAAGAGCUGGUGCAAGCGAGAUAUCGGGAUGGCAGGCAAAUCCACCAUCCGAAACGAGAAGGCGUGAAGCGUACGGAAAGCUACGGCGAGUACGGAAGGCAGUGGAGGAACUUCCAAGAAAAGUUUCUAACGUAAAGUAUAUAUGGCCCGUACCGAAAAUGGACACACAUGGGUGAGGAGAGAAUCCUAAGGUGAGCGAGAGAACUAUAGCUAAGGAACUCUGCAAAAUGACUCCGUAACUUAGGGAGAAGGAGUGCUCAUAGAGAUAUGAGCCGCAGUGAAACGGCCCAAGCGACUGUUUACCAAAAACACAGCUCUCUGCUAAGCCGCAAGGCGAAGUAUAGGGGGUGACGCCUGCCCGGUGCUGGAAGGUUAAGGGGAGGGGUUAACGCAAGUGAAGCCCUGAACUGAAGCCCCAGUAAACGGCGGCCGUAACUAUAACGGUCCUAAGGUAGCGAAAUUCCUUGUCAGGUAAGUUCUGACCCGCACGAAAGGCGUAACGAUUUGGGCGCUGUCUCAGCUGUAGACUCGGUGAAGUCUUAGUACCUGUGAAGAUGCAGGUUACCCGCGACUAGACGGAAAGACCCCAUGGAGCUUCACUGCAGGUUGAUAUUGGGAUUUGAUGCAGCAUGUACAGGAUAGGUAGGAGGCAAAGAGAUGGAUACGCCAGUAUUCAAGGAGCCGCUGUUGGGAUACUACCCCUGUUGUAUUGGAUUUCUAACCGGACGACGUAGAACCGUUGACGGGACAGUGUCAGUCGGGCAGUUUGACUGGGGCGGUCGCCUCCCAAAGAGUAACGGAGGCGCCCAAAGAUACCCUCAGCUUGGAUGGAAACCAAGCGCAGAGUGCAAAGGCAAAAGGGUGUUUGACUGCGAGACCCACAAGUCGAGCAGGGACGAAAGUCGGGCUUAGUGAUCCGGCGGUGCUGAAUGGAAAGGCCGUCGCUCAACGGAUAAAAGCUACCCUGGGGAUAACAGGCUGAUCUCCCCCAAGAGUUCACAUCGACGGGGAGGUUUGGCACCUCGAUGUCGGCUCAUCGCAUCCUGGAGCUGAAGUCGGUUCCAAGGGUUGGGCUGUUCGCCCAUUAAAGCGGUACGCGAGCUGGGUUCAGAACGUCGUGAGACAGUUCGGUCCCUAUCUGUCGUGGGCGCAGGAAAUUUGAGAAGAGCUGUCCUCAGUACGAGAGGACCGGGAUGGACGCAUCAAUGGUGGACCAGUUGUCACGCCAGUGGCAUAGCUGGGUAGCUAAAUGCGGAAGGGAUAAACGCUGAAGGCAUCUAAGUGUGAAACCCACUUCAAGAUGAGAUUUCCCAUUGC
rnacentral:rRNA from 1 species